rnacentral:rRNA from 1 species
AGAGUUUGAUCCUGGCUCAGGACGAACGCUGGCGGCGUGCUUAACACAUGCAAGUCGAACGAUGAAGCUCUUCGGAGUGGAUUAGUGGCGAACGGGUGAGUAACACGUGGGAAAUCUGCCCUGCACUCUGGGACAAGCCUUGGAAACGAGGUCUAAUACCGGAUAUGACCUUCCUCUGCAUGGGGGUUGGUGGAAAGCUCCGGCGGUGCAGGAUGAUCCCGCGGCCUAUCAGCUUGUUGGUGGGGUAAUGGCCUACCAAGGCGACGACGGGUAGCCGGCCUGAGAGGGCGACCGGCCACACUGGGACUGAGACACGGCCCAGACUCCUACGGGAGGCAGCAGUGGGGAAUAUUGCACAAUGGGCGAAAGCCUGAUGCAGCGACGCCGCGUGAGGGAUGACGGCCUUCGGGUUGUAAACCUCUUUCAGCAGGGAAGAAGCGCAAGUGACGGUACCUGCAGAAGAAGCACCGGCUAACUACGUGCCAGCAGCCGCGGUAAUACGUAGGGUGCGAGCGUUGUCCGGAAUUAUUGGGCGUAAAGAGCUCGUAGGCGGCUUGUCGCGUCGGUUGUGAAAGCCCGGGGCUUAACCCCGGGUCUGCAUUCGAUACGGGCAGGCUUGAGUGUGGUAGGGGAGAUCGGAAUUCCUGGUGUAGCGGUGAAAUGCGCAGAUAUCAGGAGGAACACCGGUGGCGAAGGCGGAUCUCUGGGCCAUUACUGACGCUGAGGAGCGAAAGCGUGGGGAGCGAACAGGAUUAGAUACCCUGGUAGUCCACGCCGUAAACGUUGGGAACUAGGUGUUGGCGACAUUCCACGUCGUCGGUGCCGCAGCUAACGCAUUAAGUUCCCCGCCUGGGGAGUACGGCCGCAAGGCUAAAACUCAAAGGAAUUGACGG